ACCCAACCUAGACUUGUUUCUUCUCUGUUGCUGUCUUCAAUGUCCCCUCCUUCUCCCACUCUAAAGAAGAUUACACCUCUCCAAAGGUAUUUAUUUUUUCUUUGUCAAAGCUUCUCUACGCUCGGUUGAUGGGGCCGACCAUCAUGUAGCCAUAUUAGUAGUCCCCUGCACACAACAGCUCGUCAACACACAGCUUAUGACCAUCAUGAUUCAGGAUCUAUGCUGGCAUAUACAUGCAUCAUGGUCAUGGGAGCAGCAGCUAGCUUAUUAUUAAUGGUUACAACACUAUCAGAAAGACAGGCACAAGGAGGGUUGUUGUUGACACUUACUCCCAGAUUAGAGGAAUGGAGGGCCCCCUCACCCUUUUUUUGCUAUGUGCACCUCGCACAUCACAUCCCAAUGGCUUCAUGCCCAGGAGAAAACCUGGAGAAAUUCCGAACAGAUGUAACAACAAAAAAA
rnacentral:lncRNA from 1 species